rnacentral:rRNA from 1 species
AGGAUGAACGCUGGCGGCGUGCCUAAGACAUGCAAGUCGAGUGGGUUUAGGCCCACGGCGAACGGGUGAGUAAUACCUAGGAACUUUCUUUAAGUGGAGCAUAACCCAUAGAAAUGUGGGACAAUUCUCCAUGUGGCAGUAAUGCUAAAGCAGCAAUGCGCUUAAAGUGAGGCCUGGGCACCAUCAGCUAGUUGGUAAGGUAAUGGCUUACCAAGGCUAUGACGGUUAGGGGUCCCGAGAGGGAGAACCCCCACACUGGAACUGCGACACGGUCCAGACUCCUACGGGAGGCAGCAGUUUGGAAUUUUGGACAAUGGGCGAAAGCCUGAUCCAGCGACGCCGCGUGGACGAUGAAGGCCUUCGGGUCGUAAAGUCCUUUUGCUCGGGAACAAUAUUUUGAGCGUACCGAGAGAAUAAGAGGUUGCUAACUCUGCGCCAGCAGCCGC